UUUUUUGGUGAAUGUCGUAUUUUUUUAUAUAAUUUAUUUCUUUGUUGGGUUUCAUUUUGAUCAGAACAAUCAUACAGAAUUGCUAAGUGUUGUGUUAUGGCAUCCAGAUGUGCUACGUGUCCCACCUACGUCUAUUCACCGCCUCAAUGAUUAGAUAAGUUUCCCUCGCCGUCUUUGUCAUCUCUGGUCAUUCUUUAUCCCUCUACUUUCCUCCACCACCUAAUCCCAAUUGAUCUUCAAGAAAACCCCAGAAAAUACUGAUUCUUUAAAUGUAGAUUGUGAAUGGAGUUCGUCGUAACCUUUUUUGUUUUUGAUUUCUGUAGAUUUUUCUGUUGCUUAUGGGAUUCAGAAAGAAAUUGAUCGAUGUUGUUCAUAGACGACUAUAUGGACCAAAAAGCAUCUAUUCCUUGGAAAAGAUUGGUUGCUGUCAACAAUGAAGCCGAAAUUUCUAUAAAAGAAAAUGAAGAGAGAUGGAGCAUGAGAUUAAAAUACCAUAUAGAAACGAGUUGAUAAUUUUAUGGGCUGUGGGCAUGAUAUAUUUUCUAUAUAUGAGUUUUAUUUUCAACUUAAUCCAAAAAAAAUAUUCAAUAUUCAUUUUUACACAAGAUAUUGUUUAUCAUAA